rnacentral:tmRNA from 1 species
GGGAACGUAAUGGUUUCGACGGGGAUUUUGAACUGCGGUAAGCGAGCAGCGGUGAGGCGCCGCUAUAAAAGCUUCAACUUAUAAAUUAAACAACAAUAAUACUGUUGCUUACGCUGCCUAAUUAGGCGCGUCGUCCGACCUCAGAGUACCGCGGCUUUGGAAGGGCGUCAUUUAGCGGUGAACGUGAACGGGGGAGCGGCUUGGCUCCCGUCACGCAUUAAAGCCUACCGAAGCGUGCAGCCUGUCCGAAGGCGUCACGUCGGGGGAAUCCUAAAAUUCGGAAUACGCUCGUAGAAAGCUGCUCGGAUGAAUUUUCGGACGCGGGUUCGACUCCCGCCGUUUCCACCA